rnacentral:rRNA from 1 species
GGACUACCCGGGUAUCUAAUCCUGUUUGCUCCCCACGCUUUCGCACAUCAGCGUCAGUACCGGGCCAGUGAGCCGCCUUCGCCACUGGUGUUCUUGCGAAUAUCUACGAAUUUCACCUCUACACUCGCAGUUCCACUCACCUCUCCCGGACUCAAGAUCGCCAGUAUCGAGGGCAGUUCUGGAGUUGAGCUCCAGGAUUUCACCCCCGACUUAGCAACCCGCCUACGUGCGCUUUACGCCCAGUGAUUCCGAGCAACGCUAGCCCCCUUCGUAUUACCGCGGCUGCUGGCAC